rnacentral:rRNA from 1 species
UACGAGGGGUGCAAGCGUUGCUCGGAAUUAUUGGGCGUAAAGGGUAGGUAGGUGGUCUUAUUUGUCUGGGGUGAAAGCCUUGGGCUUAACUCAAGAAGUGCCCCAGAAACGGUAAGACUAGAGUCCUGGAGAGGGUCGUGGAAUUCCCGGUGUAGCGGUGAAAUGCGUAGAUAUGCGGAGGAACACCGAUGGCGAAGGCAAUCCCCUGGGCCUGCACUGACGCUCAUGCACGAAAGCGUGGGGAGCAAACAGG